rnacentral:rRNA from 1 species
ACAUCCAAGGAAGGCAGCAGGCGCGCAAAUUACCCACUCUCAAAACGAGGAGGUAGUGAAGAGAAAUAACGAUGUUAGUCUAUUAUAGGCUGACAAUCGGAAUGGGAACACUGUAAACAGGUUAUCGAUUAACAAUUGGAGGGCAAGUCUGGUGCCAGCAGCCGCGGUAAUUCCAGCUCCAAUAAGGAAAACUAAAGUUGCUGUGUUUAAAAAGCUCGUAGUUGAAUUUCGGGUAUUUGUUGCUAGCUGGUCUCACUGGCCAUGUUGGUUAACAGAUCCUCAUUUGCUGGACGGCUGGCGAUGAUCUUUAUCGAUUGUCGUCAGUUGCCAGAACGUUUACUUUGAGAAAAUUAGAGUGCUAAAAGCAGGCUCACGCCUAUAUAUAUUGCAUGGAAUAAUGAAAUAAGAUCUCGAUUUUAUUUCGUUGGUUUUAGAAAUUGAGAUAAUGAUUAAUAGGAUCAGAGGGGGGCGUACGUACUGUGGUGUGAGAGGUGAAAUUCUUGGAUCGCCACAGGACGAACAGCAGCGAAGGCGUUCGCCAAGAAUGUUUUCAUUAAUCAAGAACGAAAGUUUGAGGUUCGAAGACGAUUAGAUACCGUCCUAGUUCAAACCAUAAACGUUGCCAACUGUCUUUUAGAUGCGGUUAUUUACAUGACUCAUCUGGCGGAUCUCGAGAAAUCUAAGUUUUUAGGUUCCGGGGGAAGUAUGGUUGCAAAGCUGAAACUUAAAGAAUUGACGGAAGGACACACAAGAAGUGGAGCCUGUGG